UAAGGGAAUCUUCCACAAUGGGCGAAAGCCUGAUGGAGCAACGCCGCGUGUGUGAUGAAGGGUUUCGGCUCGUAAAACACUGUUGUAAGAGAAGAAUGACAUUGAGAGUAACUGUUCAAUGUGUGACGGUAUCUUACCAGAAAGGAACGGCUAAAUACGUGCCAG
rnacentral:rRNA from 1 species